rnacentral:sRNA from 1 species
UCUCAGAAGGGCAUUUAUUCAACAUUUAUUCAAAAAAUUGUGUCAGGUUAUUUAGAGGAAGCUUCACUAUACCAAAAAUAUUAAUCAAGUGUCCUUCAUUGCUGCGCAAAGUCCAUCAUCUCACAAAACCUGCUGGCCCAUGGAUAGGACCUCUCUUGCUGGCUAUUCAUGGCUUCAGGCUCUCCAAAGCUGCUUCAUCAUCGUGGGCUGUUCACCAUCAUCUAUAACCUGCACCUACUAGAUGCCAGUAGCUGUCGCCUAUCCUGCACUUCUAUUAAGCAGCAACAUGACCAAGGAUCCUAGGAGACAAAAUGACUCUUGAUGAAGGAGCACAGUUGUAGUGUCCCAACAAAUCCUUAAAGCUCUGCCAGUGGGAUGGAGUCAAACCUGGCUAACAGAAGAAAGCAAGGCAGCCCGCUUCCAGGCAAAACAACUACCUCAGGCUCUACGUGACAUUCAACCAGAGCAUAAAGCAAGACAAAAACUGAAAAGAAAAUCUGCAAAAAGGCAAACAGGCAAGUAAUGACGAGAAUUCCACAGAAGCAGAGCAGGAGAGGGCAUUGUGACAAUGUGGAUAUGAACAGACACGUUUUAUGCCUCUUGUGUUUAAAUGGUGGAUGCUGUGUGAGGUUGGGUGGUAAAUUUUAG